GUUGUGUAGUUGUGUGUUGAACUGAACUAACACACGUGAUCCACAGGUCCAGCUGAUACAGCAUCAGAAACUGCUGGAUUAUUAUACAGAGUGAUUGUGAGUAUUGUUGAGAUCGCAGUGUUUGCUGCUCCUACUGUGAUUCUUCUUCAGAUCAUCUGUGCAAGAAGAGCUGGGAGGAAGGACUCGAAGCACCCAGAGGAAAUAGAGAUGCCUGAAUAUUACAAUAAAAACUGGUGAGUUUGGAGAGAAUCUGCA